rnacentral:lncRNA from 1 species
AAGUCGGAAGAUGAAGUCGAUUGUAACAAGUGUCUUGGCCUUAGGCAUUCUUGCUGCCGUUAUUUUCUGUUCACCAGUGCCUACGGAAAAUUCUGGAGAAGUGGUUUGCAACAAAGAUGGUUGUAGAUUUCCUGUCAAAGAUUACGGACCUUCUGUAACGCCUUACACUCCGACGCUAAAACCAAGAGUACGGACCAUGAUUGUACCACCUUUGUGGGUUAACCAAACUUGGAUGGAAAUAAUUGCACGAUCGUCCUCUACUAUGGCGCCUGAAGAAGACCAAAGUGCAGCGACAUCCGUGGAAGAUAAUUACGAUGAGAACGAAGAAGAUAACAUGGUGUGACCAUAAUACUAAAUAAUUCGUUUAAAUUGAUAUUUUUGUAUGAAAAUAAUAUAGAAAUAAUAUAGAUGUAAAAUUACAGUUUGUUUCAGUAUGUCCUAAAUGUAGAAGUGUACAUAAUCUGAUAAAUAUAUGCCUUCACGUGUUACCCUGAA